rnacentral:rRNA from 1 species
UACGGGGGGGGCAAGCGUUGUUCGGAAUUACUGGGCGUAAAGGGCUCGUAGGCGGCCAACUAAGUCCGACGUGAAAUCCCCAGGCUUAACCUGGGAACUGCGUCGGAUACUGGUUGGCUUGAAUCCGGGAGAGGGAUGCGGAAUUCCAGGUGUAGCGGUGAAAUGCGUAGAUAUCUGGAGGAACACCGGUGGCGAAGGCGGCAUCCUGGACCGGUAUUGACACUGAGGCGCGAAAGCCAGGGGAGCAAACAGG